AACGUAGGAGACGAGCGUUAUCCGGAUUUACUGGGCGUAAAGCGUGUGCAGGCGGUUCGGCAAGUUGGAUGUGAAAUCUCCCGGCUCAACUGGGAGGGGUCGUUCAAUACUACCGAACUUGAGGUCAUCAGAGGAAGGUGGAAUUCCGGGUGUAGUGGUGAAAUGCGUAGAUAUUGGGAGGAACACCAGUGGCGAAGGCGGCUACCUGGACCGGUUCUGACGCUGAUGCGCGAAAGCGUGGGUAGCAAACAGG
rnacentral:rRNA from 1 species